CCGCCCUCCCACACUUGCGCAGUUGGUCGCCCGCAUUCGGCGCCCCCUGGCGGCGGGGGCGCGGGACGCAGGGAGCGCGGGGCAUACGGAGUGACACAGCUUCAGGAUGGAAGACCCCGCACUGGGCCUCAUCUCUUCAAGUUCCCACUCUCUCCUGAUAGCACUCUUGGGGACCAAGCCUUAACGUACUAGCCCUGAGCACAUUUGGGGGCCAGAUCACAGCACCAGGACAGAGCACACCUCCCUCCCUGCAGCACUACAGCAUGUCUGCGUCCUGGGGCUACAAAGGAGAACAACAAGUCUUCAGAGUGAUGUGUGUGUCACAGGAAGAAGACCUACGGAAGCAGCUGACAUGUAGUGAACGAGGAGGAAAUCGAGUCACAUUAGGACAACUGGGUAGCAAUUUUAAAUUAAAAAAUUAAGUAAAGUUAAAAUGUUUGGAGUUUGAAAGAGUAAA